rnacentral:misc_RNA from 1 species
GUGAGUCAUCGAAUCUUUGAACGCACAUUGCGCCCCCUGGUAUUCCGGGGGGCAUGCCUGUCCGAGCGUCAUUGCAACCCUCAAGCGCGGCUUGUGUGAUGGGCGCCGUCCCCCCCGGGGGACGGGCCUGAAAGGCAGUGGCGGCGUCCCGAACGGGUGCCUGAGCGAAUGGGCUUUGAAACGUCCGCUCCGGAGGCCCCGAUCGGCGCCGGUCAGACCAGAAAAUUCUUUUCGGUUGACCUCGGAUCAGGUAGGAGUACCCGCUGAACUUAAGCAUAUCAAUAAGCGGAGGA